rnacentral:rRNA from 1 species
AUUGAACGCUGGCGGCAUGCUUUACACAUGCAAGUCGAACGGCAGCGCGGGCUUCGGCCUGGCGGCGAGUGGCGAACGGGUGAGUAAUACAUCGGAACGUGCCCAGUAGUGGGGGAUAGCUCGGCGAAAGCCGGAUUAAUACCGCAUACGACCUGAGGGUGAAAGCGGGGGAUCUUCGGACCUCGCGCUAUUGGAGCGGCCGAUGGUAGAUUAGCUAGUUGGUGGGGUAAAGGCCUACCAAGGCGACGAUCUGUAGCUGGUCUGAGAGGACGACCAGCCACACUGGGACUGAGACACGGCCCAGACUCCUACGGGAGGCAGCAGUGGGGAAUUUUGGACAAUGGGCGAAAGCCUGAUCCAGCAAUGCCGCGUGUGUGAUGAAGGCCUUCGGGUUGUAAAGCACUUUUGGCGGGAACGAAAAGGACUGUGCCAAUACCACGGUUCGAUGACGGUACCCGCAGAAUAAGCACCGGCUAACUACGUG